GCGGGUGUAGUUCAAUGGUAGAACUCCAGCCUUCCAAGCUGGUAGCAGGGGUUCGAUUCCCCUUACCCGCUCCA
rnacentral:tRNA from 1 species